UAAUCCAUAUUUUUUUAAGUUCCUUCUCUUUCUUGCUUACUCAUGGACUUUUCCUCUUUCGUGGUUGAUGUUUACACAUUCCACGUGUAUUGUUGCCGUUUAUUGUUUUCCGCUUUCCCGUUUCCUUUUUUCUUUUUCUUUUCUAUUCCUUUUUACUUCCUCCUCUGCUCCCGAUUUUCCUCCUCUGCUCUCCAUUUCCGCGUCCUUUGAUCUCUCAGUUGCAGGUAAUUUUCUUCUGCUCUUCUUCGCUUUUUGUCUUUGCUACGUUGGCCUCUGCUGUCGUAAUUUUCUUUCUUUUGUUGCCGUUGUGUCCUCCGGUUAUUUUCUGAUGGUUGUUCCGCUAAAGCGGACAGCUUACGACGCUGCUUCAUCUUCUGUUGUUGUUCCUGUAACUUGUCGGCGCAGGUCCCGUCGUUUUGAAGGCUUUUUUGUUCUUCCCCAAUGUGGUGAUUGUACGUGGGUUUGUGAGCGUUUAAGAGUUUGAAUUUAAGAGCAAUUAGUGGUUGCAUUAUUAGGCCAGCACGAUUGAAAUAGAUGCGUCACUUUGUUUACACAUCACCCAAGGAACAACUAUAAUUCUUUAACCGUAUUCAAAAGUGGUGAAUCGAAUUUGGUAUAUUAUAUGUUUCAUUCAACAGUAGGCCAUGUAUAAUAAGCAGUUAUGAUGCAGUUGCUAAGUGAUAAAGAAGAAAGCAAAUAAACAAAGACCUGGAAGUUUUCAAACAUUCGAUGAAAACUUAGGAUAAAGGAUUGGUAUUUGAGUAUCAACCAAAAUAUAAUAGUGCAAGGGUUGUUUAUAGAGAAAGAAAGAAGUAUGAUGAUGGAAUUGAUUGGAAUUUGUUUGUUGUUCCAUCUGCUGGAUCUCUUAAGG